ensembl:rRNA 5S_rRNA 5S ribosomal RNA
UCAAGUAGCUAUGCCCUUAAUUAGCUAGCUCUCUGCAACUCUCACAUGGUCGCCCACUGAAGCUAAGCAGGGCUGCGCCAGGUCAGUACCUGCAUGGGAGACCACAUGGGAAAGCUAAGUUGCUGCUGGAA